rnacentral:rRNA from 1 species
CAGCCGCCACGGUAAUACGUAGGGUGCAAGCGUUAAUCGGAAUUACUGGGCGUAAAGCGUGCGCAGGCGGUUCGUUAAGACAGAUGUGAAAUCCCCGGGCUUAACCCGGGGACUGCGCUUAAUACAGGCAGUCUAGAGUGAGGAAGAGGGUUGUGGAAUUCCCAGUGUAGAGGUGAAAUUCGUAGAUAUUGGGAAGAACACCGGUGGCGAAGGCGGCAACCUGGUCCUUGACUGACGCUGAGGCGCGAAAGCGUGGGGAGCAAACAGGAUUAGAGACCCCUGUAGUCCCUGUCUCUUAUAC